rnacentral:rRNA from 3 species
UGAAGAGUUUGAUCAUGGCUCAGAUUGAACGCUGGCGGCAGGCCUAACACAUGCAAGUCGAACGGUAACAGGAAGCAGCUUGCUGCUUUGCUGACGAGUGGCGGACGGGUGAGUAAUGUCUGGGAAACUGCCUGAUGGAGGGGGAUAACUACUGGAAACGGUGGCUAAUACCGCAUAACGUCGCAAGACCAAAGAGGGGGACCUUCGGGCCUCUUGCCAUCAGAUGUGCCCAGAUGGGAUUAGCUUGUUGGUGAGGUAACGGCUCACCAAGGCGACGAUCCCUAGCUGGUCUGAGAGGAUGACCAGCCACACUGGAACUGAGACACGGUCCAGACUCCUACGGGAGGCAGCAGUGGGGAAUAUUGCACAAUGGGCGCAAGCCUGAUGCAGCCAUGCCGCGUGUAUGAAGAAGGCCUUCGGGUUGUAAAGUACUUUCAGCGGGGAG